UAGGGAAUCUUCGGCAAUGGGGGCAACCCUGACCGAGCAACGCCGCGUGAGUGAAGAAGGUUUUCGGAUCGUAAAGCUCUGUUGUAAGUCAAGAACGGGUGUGAGAGUGGAAAGUUCACACUGUGACGGUAGCUUACCAGAAAGGGACGGCUAACUACGUGCCAGCAGCCGCGGUAAUACGUAGGUCCCGAGCGUUGUCCGGAUUUAUUGGGCGUAAAGCGAGCGCAGGCGGUUUGAUAAGUCUGAAGUUAAAGGCUGUGGCUCAACCAUAGUUCGCUUUGGAAACUGUCAAACUUGAGUGCAGAAGGGGAGAGUGGAAUUCCAUGUGUAGCGGUGAAAUGCGUAGAUAUAUGGAGGAACACCGGUGGCGAAAGCGGCUCUCUGGUCUGUAACUGACGCUGAGGCUCGAAAGCGUGGGGAGCGAACAGGAUUAGAUACCCUGGUAGUCCACGCCGUAAACGAUGAGUGCUAGGUGUUGGAUCCUUUCCGGGAUUCAGUGCCGCAGCUAACGCAUUAAGCACUCCGCCUGGGGAGUACGACCGCAAGGUUGAAACUCAAAGGAAUUGACGGGGGCCCGCACAAGCGGUGGAGCAUGUGGUUUAAUUCGAAGCAACGCGAAGAACCUUACCAGGUCUUGACAUCCCGAUGCUAUUUCUAGAGAUAGAAAGUUACUUCGGUACAUCGGUGACAGGUGGUGCAUGGUUGUCGUCAGCUCGUGUCGUGAGAUGUUGGGUUAAGUCCCGCAACGAGCGCAACCCCUAUUUUCAGUAGCCAGCAUUUUGGAUGGGCACUCUGGAGAGACUGCCCGGGAUAACCGGGAGGAAGGUGGGGAUGACGUCAAAUCAUCAUGCCCCUUAUGAUCUGGGCUACACACGUGCUACAAUGGCUGUUACAGAGAGAAGCGAAUCCGCGAGGAAGAGCAAACCUCAAAAAGGCAGUCUCAGUUCGGAUUGUAGUCUGCAACUCGACUACAUGAAGCUGGAAUCGCUAGUAAUCGCGAAUCAGAAUGUCGCGGUGAAUACGUUCCU
rnacentral:rRNA from 1 species